UUUGGAUUCGUUGCUCUUUUCUGUUUCUGCGUUCUCUUGUUCUUCCUGGAUUCGAUUCGUCGUAUUGUGUUUCAGAGAUCUGCAAUCGUUGAAGAAUCGAUUUUCUUUUCUGUUUUGGUUGGGUUCUCUUGUUUUCCCAGGUCUUGAUUCUUCGAUUUGGGUUCUUCCGCAAUCGUUGAAAGAUUCUUCGAUGGAGUUUGCAGAUUCACUUAAACCCAUUUAACUCCUGCGAUCUCUCUGGUUGCUAUUCGAAGAUCGGCACUUCGUCGAGGAUUCCUUGUCGGGUUUUUUUUUUCCAACCUCUGGGUUUCGGAUAUCGCAGCUUUCCGUGAUUUCUUCUCUUCGGAACUAUCACACUCCUCUUCAUGUACUAUUUAGAGCUGAAUCCAUGAAGAGGAGGAUACAUAAGAAUCUGCAGAAAGACAAGGAAAGAGAAGAACUUGCUCACUGGGUUAUGUUGUGUUGCUGUUCAUGGUCUUGUCCAAUAUGGGGAAGGUAUUUGGGCAAGAGCUAUUUUGUGGAUAUUUUUAGGGUUUCGAUCUCGGGUUCGGUUCGGUUAUAUUCAUAUUCAUAUAUUCGGGUUCGGUUUGUUGCAGGGAGAAUGAUUUGGAAUAAGAACGCUGCACUCAUUUUUGCAUUCGCCGUUCAUGUGUGGUUUUGAAUUGCGUUAUGUCGUUUGAAAUUGAAUCUGAGAGUGUGUUUCAGUAGGGCUUGACCAAAAAAAAAAAAAUAUGGUUUUGAUCCAAAUAAUCUAAAUAUUUGAGAUGCCCGAUCCAAGUAACCCUAUAUGAUACAUAUUUUGAAGAA